AGAGUUUGAUCCUGGCUCAGAACGAACGCUGGCGGCAGGCCUCAAACAUGCAAGUCUAGGGGGUGUAGCAAUACAUCACCGGCGGACGGGUGCGUAACACGUGGGAAUAUACCUUUUGGUUCGGAACAACGCAGGGAAACUUGCGCUAAUACCGAAUGUGCCCUUACGGGGAAAGAUUUAUCGCCAAAGGAUUAGCCCGCGUAGGAUUAGCUAGUUGGUGAGGUAAUGGCUCACCAAGGCUCCGAUCCUUAGCUGUUCUGAGAGGAAGAUCAGCCACACUGGGACUGAGACACGGCCCAGACUCCUACGGGAGGCAGCAGUUGGGAAUCUUGGACAAUGGAGGAAACCCUGAUCCAGCCAUGCCGCGUGAGUGAUGAAGGCCUUCGGGUUGUAAAACUCUUUCGACGGGGACGAUAAUGACGGUACCCGUAGAAGAAGCUCCGGCUAACUUCGUGCCAGCAGCCGCGGCAAUACGAAGGGGGCUAGCGUUGUUCGGAAUUACUGGGCGUAAAGCGCGCGCAGGCGGCUAUCCAAGUCAGUGGUGAAAGCCCGGAGCUCAACUCCGGAACUGCCAUUGAAACUGUUUAGCUUGAGGACGAGAGAGGUGAGUGGAAUUCCCAGUGUAGAGGUGAAAUUCGUAGAUAUUGGGAAGAACACCGGUGGCGAAGGCGGCUCACUGGCUCGUAUCUGACGCUCACGCGCGACAGCGUGGGGAUCAAACAGGAUUAGAUACCCUGGUAGUCC
rnacentral:rRNA from 1 species